GAUCCUGGCUCAGGAUGAACGCUGGCGGCGUGCCUAAUACAUGCAAGUCGAACGCUUCACUUCGGUGAAGAGUGGCGAACGGGUGAGUAAUACAUAAGUAACCUGGCAUCUACGAGGGGGAUAACUGAUAGGAAACGUCAGCUAAGACCGCAUAGGUGUAGAGAUCGCAUGAACUCUAUAUAGAAAGUGCGUACGGACUGGUAGAUGAGUGGACUUAGUGGCGCUAUUAG
rnacentral:rRNA from 1 species